GCCUGUGUGGCUCAGUGGAUAGAGCGUCGGUCCUCAGACUGAAGGCUCACAGGUUAGAUUCCAGUCAAGGGCA
rnacentral:tRNA from 1 species